rnacentral:misc_RNA from 1 species
AUCUUAAUUUAUAUUUUUCAUUUUUUUUAAAAAAAAAAAUUUGUAGAUUGAAAAUUUUUUGAAUAAAGUAUUAGGAAAAUAAAUUCCCGAUAUUCUAAUGAUCCUUCCGCAGGUUCACCUACGGAAA